rnacentral:misc_RNA from 1 species
GAAAUGCGAAAAGUAAUGAGAAUUGCAGAAUUCAGUGAAUCAUCGAAUCUUUGAACGCACAUUGCGCCCGCCAGUAUUCUGGCGGGCAUGCCUGUCUGAGCGUCAUUUCAACCCUCAUGCCCCUAGGGCGUGGUGUUGGGGAUCGGCCAGCGCCCGCGAGGGACGGCCGGCCCCUAAAUCUAGUGGCGGACCCGUCGUGGCCUCCCCUGCGAAGUAGUGAUAUUCCGCAUAGGAGAGCGACGAGCCCCUGCCGUUAAACCCCCAACUUUCUAAGGUUGACCUCAGAUCAGGUAGGAAUACCCGCUGAACUUAAGC